rnacentral:rRNA from 1 species
AUUGAACGCUGGCGGAAUGCUUUACACAUGCAAGUCGAACGGCAGCACGGACUUCGGUCUGGUGGCGAGUGGCGAACGGGUGAGUAAUACAUCGGAACGUGCCCAGUCGUGGGGGAUAACGUAGCGAAAGCUACGCUAAUACCGCAUACGAUCUAAGGAUGAAAGCGGGGGACCGUAAGGCCUCGCGCGAUUGGAGCGGCCGAUGGCAGAUUUGGUAGUUGGUGGGGUAAAGGCUCACCAAGCCGACGAUCUGUAGCUGGUCUGAGAGGACGACCAGCCACACUGGGACUGAGACACGGCCCAGACUCCUACGGGAGGCAGCAGUGGGGAAUUUUGGACAAUGGGCGCAAGCCUGAUCCAGCCAUUCCGCGUGCAGGAUGAAGGCCCUCGGGUUGUAAACUGCUUUUGUACGGAACGAAAAGGCUCUGGUUAAUACCUGGGGCUCAUGACGGUACCGUAAGAAUAAGCACCGGCUAACUACGUGCCAGCAGCCGCCGCCG